rnacentral:rRNA from 1 species
GUCGAAGGAACUCGACAAAAUGACCCCGUAACUUCGGGAGAAGGGGUGCUCUCCUAUCUUUUGAUUAGGAAAGCGGCACAUACCAGGGGGUAGUAAGUGUUUAUUAAAAACAUAUAAGUCUGCUUAGUGGUAACACAAUGUAUAGAGUCUGACACCUGCCCGGUGCUGGAAGGUCGAAAGGAGAACUGUUAUAAGCUGAAUGGAACCCCCGGUAAACAACGACAGUAACUCUAACUGUCCUAAGGUAGCGAAAUUUUUUGUCGCAUAAGUAGCGACAUGCAUGAAUGGUGUAACGACUAUGGACCUGGUACUUCUGGC